rnacentral:rRNA from 1 species
CGUAGGUGAACCUGCGAAAGGAUCAUAAAUGAACUUGAACUGCUUGUGGCUCUGGGCUGUGCUGACGAGGACCUUCACGGGUUCUUCGUACGUGCACGUCUGGGGUUGCAGCUUUCUUCGUCCACCUGUGCACACUCUGUAGGUCUGGAUACCCCAUUGGAAGGGUGCGCUUUUUGCGCUCCCUUUGCCUUCCAGGCCUAUGUCUUACAAACACUAUAGUAUGUAACGAAUGUCAUUGAUUAUUGGACUUCACUGUCCUUUAAACUAAAUACAACUUUCAACAACGGAUCUCUUGGCUCUCGCAUCGAUGAAGAACGCAGCGAAAUGCGAUAACUAAUGUGAAUUGCAGAAUUCAGUGAAUCAUCGAGUCUUUGAACGCACCUUGCGCCCUUUGGUACUCCGAAGGGCAUGCCUGUUUGAGUGUCAGUAACUUCUCAACCUCCCUCACUUUGUUGUGAGCUGGCGGAUUGGAUGUGGGGGCUUGCUGGACCUUAUCUUUGGGUUCAGCUCCCCUGAAAUGCAUUAGCAGAAACCGUUACCUUUUGGCGCGCUGCAGCUGUGAUAAUUAUCUACGGCUAUGGCUGGGCUGACUGUGUUGUAGCGCUCGUCUCGUCUCUGAAGUGGUUUCGCCUUAGUUGGUGCUUCCCUUUGCCUUCUCUCUCACGAGAGAUACCUGUGACGCGAGUGCGCGGGCUAUUCCGCUUCUAACCGUCCCCUUGUGGGACAAACUAUUGACCAUUUGACCUCAAAUCAGGUAGGACUACCCGCUGAACUUAAGCAUAUCAAUAAGCGGAGGA